UUUAAGAUAAAAUUGAUAAAAUCAGUACAAGUCUGGAAGAGGAAAAUAAACACAAGCUCAGAGACAAAAGAUUAAAAAUUCAGUAGUUCGACUCGGUGCAAAAAUUAAGCUCAAUUGUUUGAUUAUACAUACAAGAAAACCCAAUUAUACUUGUUAUCGAUUCCAAUGCCGAUUCUUACCAACCAUUUCAAUCGUACGGCCGGAAAGACGUCGGAUCUCCGGUGGUAUUAUCGCCGGCGGAAGAUGCAGGCCCCCCCGUCUCCGGAAAUGGGAUGGCUACAUCUAUUGUAUACAGGUGAACAAAUUCCGUUGAUUUUUUUUCAGCCCCUUAAUACUGCUUCUCCAUGCCCUCUAUCUGUUUGACGAAAUGCCCAAUGACGAUUGUCAGAUUGUGUUAAUAAUGCCUGUGUCCUGCUCUUGAUUUCCUCAUUUGCUGUGUGUAAUGCGCUCUCCUGAAUUAACUUGGAUUGUGGUCCCUUGUAGUGUUGAAUUCUUAUGUUAAUUAAUCUAUAUUUUUCUGUACAAGUUCAAUCCAAUGUCUGCUCUAUGAAUUAGUACAACUAUUGUUUGAAGUGGCGAUGCGACUUGCUAUUUUAAUAUCUCUCAUGUUUUUGAACGUGGAUAAGUUUGAUUUGAUUAACUGAAUAAAGUUUCGAAUUACUGUGAAAUAUGAUGAUCUUUAACAUCUAGGGAGUGUGUCAGUGCUUGUUCUCAUCUGCAGAGGAACACAUAAGUACUGUGGUUUAUGUCGGAUUUUUUUGUGGAAGUCGUAGUUUUAGUAGUAGAAGAGUUUGCCGUAUAAAAGGAAUAUGCUACACAGCUACAGAUAACUUAUAAACAAGAUGAUUAAGAUACUUGUGAGGAUUGUUACUCGAACAGAUAUAACACUUCCAAGUGCAGGUAAAAAAACAAAACAAUCAUGGAUUCCUAUCACGACCUUCAGGGAACAUAAUCUAAACAAUCAUGGAUUCCUAUCACGACCUUUGGGGAACAUAAUGUAAACAUUUCUUGGUCUAGUGAAUUCUAAAAGUAGCGAACGCAAACGAAUUCAUUUGGUGGCCUAUUGUUCAAAGUUCAUAUAUGGGCGUAAUAUUUUUCUUGAUCAAGUACAGAUUUUUUGAAAAAUGGUUUUUUUUUUUGUUCGAGGAGGGGGGCUUCAGCCCUCCUCAGCACCCCUGGUAUACUAUUUCCAAGCAAUCCAACAAAAUUUUUGGAAUCCAUUCAAUACCUUGUUUUUUUUGGAGAACAAAUCAUCUGUACCUCUAUUUUAAUUGGAAACCACACUAAAGAAUAUAAAUUUUCAAACGGUUGUGAAUGAAAAACUAAUUGUAAUAAUCAACCAUAACUAACAUUUUACUAACUAAAAAAUGAAUAAAAAUAAAAAAUAUUUACAAAACACUUACUAUGAUAAAUAAACCCUAAUUAGAAAUUAUUUAUAAAACCAAAAUACACAAUACUUAUCAUAUGAAAUAUUGAAGAAAAGUUGAAAAAGUUUAUAAUGGUAGAGAAAUGGUAAACCACAGGUUGGUAUAUAAAACAAAAGAUAGGAAAAGAAAACAAAAAAAAGUACCAGCACACAGUUUUUGUUUCGUCAAAAUAUGUAAUUCUUUUCACAUUUACAAAAUUACUUCCAUAUUGGCCCAUGGUGCUUUGAAAACAGGGUUCGGAUGGAACUGAGUGAAUAUAAAUCUGCUGGGUUAGAAUACUGUGCACUCAACAAUCUUAAUCUGUUUUGUAGUUAAUGAUAGUGUAAGAAAAUGUAAUGAAUACAACAAUGGGCUGAAACCGGCCCAAAUCAUUGAUUAUCACAGCAAUCAAAUGCAUGUAUAUUUUCAUCAGCUACAUUAAAAUUUGUGAUAUAUGUUGCCUAAUCUAAUAUGUUUAGAAUUAGUAGGUGAUUACUUCUCAUUGUUCAAGAUUGCUAUGACUUAUUAUUGUUUCUUGGGAAAGUACUCUGCCUCAUUCAUUAGUAGUCCUAUUAGUCGACUCUAAAAUAAUAUAAUGCAUAUUAUUUCUAAUAUUUUGUCAGACGUUCUGCUUGCAGUUGAUUAUCCAACUAAUAACUGGUGUUUGGUAUCAAAGUAAAUUCUUAUGUUCUUUAAUCAAGUACACAUAUGCGAUAAGUUAAUUACACGAAUACAAUAAUAAGAAAAUAGUAGAUUACAGAGGUGGCCAAGUGGCUUCUGAGCAGCUACGCUUUUAAACUUAUUCCGAAAUAGAAUAGUGGAAAAUAGCAUUAAUCACACCUUACUUAUAAGUUAUAACGCUUGCUCAAAUGCCUGCAUACGUAACAUCUAUCCUCACACGUCACAAGACCUUUAUGAUGGCACCUACGCUCACAAUUAUAUACGUAUGAACAGGUGCGCAUCUUUUAUUAAAUCAACUGUGAUUGUAGGGAUUAUCACAAAACAAAAAGAUUAAGAAAGCCAGGUGGCUGUUAAGCGAUACCACUGGCCACUUAUUCCAGUCCAAUCAACUUUACUCCAUGUAACAAAAAGGAUUAUUACAAAACAAAAAGAUUAAGAGAGCCAGGUGGCUGCUAAGCAAUACACACAGGACAAAAAAAGACAGUAGGAUCAUUUAAUUUUGUAACGCACGCGCACUAGCUUGCAUGCGCAGCGCCUAUAUAAGAAGCACAGGUUAGUCCAUUGUCCAUGCUUCUUCAGAGUAAAUGUUAAUAUAAAUCUAGAGUGCGGAGAUUUCUCAGAGAAAAAGCAUAUUUUCUAAGGAUUUGGAGGCCACAGUUGUCCUUUUUUGUGCAGUCUUCGCCAAGAAUUAUUUCCUUGAAGUUAAUGAUAGAUUAUAUGUUUGAAUUGACUGCAUGUUGAAUUCCAUAGAAGGGAAGAAGAUCUGGUCAGCAUUCUCUGUUCUCAGUCAAGCUUUACCAGUUGCCUAGAAAAUGGAUUCAGAUCGGACAUCCAACAACUGCUUCUGGACGAUGGAGGUGGAUGGUGCUGCAUCAAAGGAUGCACGCACAUCUUUGGAUUGGACAAGGGAGGAGGACAAGGCAUUCGAGAUUGCUCUCUUAACCCACUAUAAUGAUGCUGAUAUGUGGGAUAAGAUCGCAUUGGCAGUUCCUGGGAAAACAGUUCAAGAUCUAAAACUUCACUAUGAAGCCUUAAGUUUGAUGUCUGUUGAGUCUGGCAAGAUGCCUCUGUCCAUUUAUUCUACAAAAGGCAAUGUUCUAGAAGAGAAGAAGCUGAAGUCAGAGCAAGUGACACGCGGACAGAAGAGGAACACGGGCAAUUUCUACAUGGUUUGGAGAGGUUCGGUCAGGGUGAUUGGAAGAACAUUUCGAAGUAUAGUGUGCAAACUAGAUCAAAAAGCCAAGUAGCAAGCCAUGCUCAAAAGUACUUCAGAAGGCUGAGUUCGACUGAAGAAGAAGGUAAAUGGCUCGGCGUUAAUGAUAUCACUACUCUGAAACCUGAGAAAUUGUUAGCCUUCGAGAAGGCAACGACAAGCUUCAUGCCCGAGUGCUGCAAUGGAGAGUCUUCUACGGCUAGAACCGGAGAAUUGCUUCCUGGAAAUCUCGAGAGAGCAGCAGCGCACGCUGGAACCCAACUGCUGUUCGUAUGCGCAACAGUAGCUUCAGGUGAUGCUUUCGGGAAGCGCGGGCGUCCUAUGAAAGCUUCGUGUACUGAUGAAAACAAGCUGAUGCUGGGGGCAAGGUAUCCCAGGAAAAAGAAAGCUGUUGCAUGUAACGAGAGCCAAUUGCUGCCCGGGAAGCUACUGCGGUCUGGGUACCCUCAUGAAGCUCCAAAGGAUAUCGGGUAUCAACUGCUGUCUGGAUACCCUAAUCAACUGGGCCUCCCAUCUGGUUCACUCCGGACUCCUUCAUAUGGGACUGUUGGGAAUAGCACAGGUGCAGCAAUGCAGGAUAUUGAUGAGCUUGCUGAUGGUCGAUAUGAUAUCGGUUCUAGCACUGAUAUUUUGGAUGAUCUGGAUCUCUCUUUGUUCCCUCAUUUUUGGGAUUGAAAUGGUUGUGAGGAAGUUAAUGCAUUUUCCUUAUGGAAAAGCUUACUUUUGAUGGGAUGGCUUGUAAUAAAGUUUGCUAGUCUACAAUGUUGUUAUCUUCUUUAAUAAAGUUCAUGUGUUUGGUUAUAACUUAUUCCCUAUCUUCACCUCCUUUUUUUUUUGUUUGCUUAGAGAUUAUGGUUGAAAUAAAUGUGAACAUGGUAGCGUAAAUGUAAUAUACAGAUGACAUAUCAUUAUCCCAUUUGUUUUUUAAUGUGGGGAUGAGAUUCAUCAUCCCAUUUGUUUUUUUAA